rnacentral:misc_RNA from 1 species
UCACCAUAUCAAGCUUGGCUUGUUGUUGGGCCCUUUGUCACCUGGUGACAGGUCCAAAAGACAAUAACCGGUGUCAUACAGACUCUAUAUGCAACGAGCUUAUAACAGCACGCAUCUGGUGGUCGUGUGGCCUGGUUUUCACUUUAAAUUUCUCAA